ensembl:snoRNA
CUCUUUUUAGAAGCACUCGUGGGUCUUUUGGUAAUGACCCACUGAGCCAUCAAGAAGGGGCAGAGUGAAAAUGUCACUUUUGGGUAAAGUGACAGCAUGUUGUGUUGCUUUGCUCUGAUUGGUGGUAUGACAGGG